GUAGUUUAUGGGGAUCCGGCUUAUGGAAGCGGAGUGAUAUCAGGCUUUGUUUAGCGCCGCGACUCUUUCUGUCGGAGGGCUCCCUGUCCUGUGCCCUGUGGUCGCUUCAGGUAUUGGAAUGCGCAAGGGCGAAUUCCGGAUAUAGGGAAAACGGCGCUGGAACAAGAGAAGCAGAGACAUACCAGAGUGUUUCUGUAUUAGUUCCCCUUUUGCGGGAGCUCCCCCCACCAAGCCUACCAUUCUUUCCUGAACUGAAAUGCACACGGGUUUCCAGCUGUGGUGUCAGGAAAUUUCUUCUGGCCUGACAGGCGGAAGUGUUCCAGUCUUUCGAAGUUCAUCUCUCCAAACACAGAGGCCCACUGAAAUGGGCGGUCUCGGGGUGGCGCCCAAGAAGUGAAAAUAAAUGGCUGAACCCAUUCAAGAACAUGGACAUGGAGCACCCGGUGUCAGCUCUCUGAGGAAUAAGCUGGGCAGAUGGGCUGAGUCUCCCCGCCCCUGCAGAUGCUAACCUGAGACUCCUCGCAAAGUGCACCUUUGGGAAAGGGAGGGGUCGGGACGGUGGAUGGAAGCCCCUGUUGUGCCAGGUAACAUGCCCGCUUCUGUUUGGCUCCAGGUUGAGCAUCUGACAGAGUCCCACUGUCUCUUAAGGCCAAGGCCAGUCUCUGGAAUGAGCGUGUGCCCUUUCUCAUCAGGAUUUAUUGACAAAUUACCUAUGAAUGCAAGCCCGAUCAAUGUAUCUCCUACAGCCAGCCAGGGAUGAACAGGGAUGCAGGGUCUUUCAGUCCUGGCCCUUCUGGCUCAUGGGGCAGGGGAAGAGCAAUCCAGGACAUACAAUGUACAACGUGUAACAUCACUCUUUAUUAUGAAAAUAAAUGGUGAUCAUGAGUGGGGCGAAUACACAGAACAACUGGUUCUUCAAGUGGUUAUGUUACCCGGCCUGCAAGUUAACUUUGGCUUUCUGGUGAGCCAGACUGCCAACCCCAGUCCUGGGCACAGCCUUAGGCUGGUAAAAAGAGGAAACAAAGAGGAUGUAAAUGAAGACAAAGAAGACAUCGAAGGGCUCCUUUUAGGGGAUUUGCUUGAAGGCCUCCACUGAGAUCUUGCUCUCGGUCUAGAGGAAGUAAAGAAAAGGAGUUGGGACAUCCAAAGAGCCAGAUGCCCUGGGUUCCAUACCCAGAUCACCUGGCCUACAAUUUUCUGGCCUUUCUGAAAGACAGGAAACAUCCACAUUUUACCCACCUGAUUCCCAGAUCUCACCUGGAGUAUAGUGAAAACCUGGUCAGCUUUGGUGUAGUUCUACUCACUGUCCUGAAAGCACCUGGGAUGGGAGAAGAACAGGUGAUCUCUAACACGCUGACUAUGCAAUGCCACCCCUUAAUCUAUGCUACUUUUUGCUGGGACCCACGUACCAAUAUGAGCACUAUUGUAAUGAUGAAUAAAGUCCUAGGGAAAACCAAAAUGCCUAUCGCUGACAUUCAUGCCCACUAGAAUACAGAGUAGGAAAAUAGGGUUGUUCAAAUGAACAAGGGCUUAAUAUAUAUUGACAAAAAAGAUGUUCAAGAAAUAACAAAUAGAAAUUCAAAGCUAAAAAUUAUCCACUAAUUUUAAAAUUGUGGUGUAAGACAGGAUUCAUCAUUUUAAGGUGUACAAUUCAGUGAUUUUUCUGGUAUAUUUACAAGAUUGUGCAACCAUUACAAUUUUAUCUACCCAAAACAUUUCCACCACCUUAAAAAAAAUACUCCUUACCUGUUAGCAGUCACUCCUCAUUCUCCUUUUUGCCCAGACCCUAGUUACCAUUAAUCUGUUAUCUGUCUCUAUGGAUUUGCCUAUUCGGGGCAUUUUAUAUAAACGAACGCAUAUAAUAUGUAGUCUUUUGUGAUUGGCUGUUUUCACUUAGCAUAAUAUUUUCAAGGGUCACCCAUGUUAUAGCAUGUAUCACAACUUAAUUCUAUUUUAUUGCCAAGUAAUAUUUCAUUAUAUAGAUAUAUCACAUUUUAUUUAUCUUCAUAAAUGGAUGAAUAUUUGGAUUGUUUCCACUUUUUGACUAUUACAAAUAAUGCUGCAAUAAACACUCAUUUUCAAGUUUUUGUGUGAACAUAAGUUUUCAUCACUCUUUGUGUAAUCGCUGUGUCAUAUAGUAAUUCCAUAUUUACCAUUUUGAAGAACUGACAAACUAUUUUCCACAGUAGCUGCAUCAUUUUCCAUUCUUACCAGCAAUGUAUGAGGGUUCCAAUUUAUCCAUAGCUUUGUCAACAUUAAAAAAUAUUUUUUAAUUGACAUAUAAUAAUUGUACAUAUUUAUGGGGUACAUAAUGAUGUUUCGAUACAUGCAAUGUACAGUGAGCAGAUGAAUGUAACUAGCAUAUCCAUCAUCUUAAAUAUUUAUCUUUGUGUUGGGAACAUUUAAUAUCCUCCUUCUAGCUAUUUGAAACUACAUAUUAUUGUUAGCUAUAGUCAUCCCACAAUGCUGUAAAACACUAGAACUUAUUCCUCCUAUGUAGCUGUAAUUUUGUAUCUUUUAACACAGCUCUCCCUAUUGCUUUCCUCCUAUCAACACUUGUUAUUUCGAUCUCAAAAAAUGGUAGCCAUCCUGCUGUGUGUGAAGUGAUACCUCAGUGUGGUUUAGAUUUUAAUUGGGUUAUUUUCAUUUUUAUGGUUGAGUUCCAAGAGUUCUUUAUAUAUUCUGAAUACAAGUCCCUUAUCAGAUGUAUAAUAAUGCACAUAUUUUCUCUGAUUCUUGGGUUGUCUUUUCACUUCAUUGAUAGUGCCUUUUGAUGCAAAACAAGUUUUAAAUUGUGAAGAAAUCCACUUUAUCUAAUUUUGUGUGUGUAUGUGUGUUUUGUUAUAUGUCAGAAACCACUGUCUAAUUCAAGGUCACAAAGAUUCACUCUUUUGUUUCCUUCUAAGAUUUUUAUAGUUUUAGCUCUAACUUUUAUGCCUUUGGCUAUUUUGAUUUAUUAUCGUAUAUGGCAUAUGAUGGGGUACAAAUUCAUUGUUUGUGAGUGGAUAUCCAGUUCUGCCUGCGCCAGUUGUUGAAAAGGCUAUUCUUUCUUUAUCCAUUGGCUUUUUUUCUUGGCACUCUGGUAGAAAAGCUAUUGACCAUAAAGGUAAGGAUUUUGGUUUAUUUUGGACUCUUAUUUUAUUACAUUGAUCUAUAUGUCUAUUCUUAGGUCUGUAUCACUCAGUAUGGAUUGAUUACUGUAGCUUUGUAGUAAGACUGCAGUAACUUUAUAGUGGGUCCUCCAACUUUGUUCUUUUUCAAAAUUAUUUUUUAUUCUGCAUUCAUUGUAUUUUCAUUUAAAUGUUAUGGUUAACCUCUUAAUUUCUAUAAAGAAGCCAGCUGGGAUUUUGAUAUGGAUUGCAUUUGCAUUGAAUCUAUAUACAAAAUUUGGGGAGUAUUGCCAUUUUAACAAUAUUAAGUCUUCCGAUCCAGGGACAUGGGAUGUCAUUCCAUUUAUUUAGGUCUUCCUUAAUUUCUUUCUAUAAUGUACUGCAGAUUUCAAAGUAAAUGUUUUGGAUUUUUCUUUGUCAUUAAAUUUGUUCCUGUGUUAUUUUUA